rnacentral:rRNA from 1 species
CAAGUCGAACGAACGGAGGAAGAGCUUGCUCUUCCAAAGUUAGUGGCGGACGGGUGAGUAACACGUGGGCAACCUGCCUGUAAGUUGGGGAUAACUCCGGGAAACCGGGGCUAAUACCGAAUGAUAAAGUGUGGCGCAUGCCACGCUUUUGAAAGAUGGUUUCGGCUAUCGCUUACAGAUGGGCCCGCGGUGCAUUAGCUAGUUGGGAGGGUAAUGGCCUACCAAGGCAACGAUGCAUAGCCGACCUGAGAGGG